rnacentral:rRNA from 1 species
UACGUAGGGCGCAAGCGUUAUCCGGAAUUAUUGGGCGUAAAGAGCUCGUAGGCGGUUUGUCGCGUCUGCCGUGAAAGUCCGGGGCUCAACUCCGGAUCUGCGGUGGGUACGGGCAGGCUCGAGUUCGGUAGGGGAGACUGGAAUUCCUGGUGUAGCGGUGAAAUGCGCAGAUAUCAGGAGGAACACCGGUGGCGAAGGCGAGUCCCUGGACAACUCCUGACGCUGAGGCACGAAAGCUAGGGGAGCAAACAGG